AGAAGCGUUGGGAGGAGGAGGAAGGGUGGGGGGGGGUCGGUUCGGAGCCGGGUCCGAACCGCCGGCGGAAAAGAGGUUCGGGCUGCCCGAGCGCUCGGGCGCCCGUCGGCAACGCUCCUUGGCGGAGUCCCGGUGUCGGCUGGGAUUCGUGAGAUCGCAGGCCUUCCUGUCAUCCUGGUCGGGGCCCACGGAGUUUGCGAUUUCUAGCCUAUUGGCGGAGGCGAUAUCACGUUGGGACCAAUGCAGCAACGCCAUGGCUAGACUCGUUCCAAUACUAUAACGUGCGGCCAUACCCUCAGCGCACAGACUUGACGGCUCACGGUCCCAGGUCUUUGACGUAGCAAGUCAAAUGCCCGGCACCUUCAGGUCUGAAACGGAGUUGUUCCCAUGAAGCCUCGCCCCUGAGAUGCCAGCAGCGCGGUGCCCUGAAGCCAGUUCACCUCGUUCUCAUCUGGGAAUGAGAGAGGCUUUCCUUUCUGCCCUCGCCUCGUUGUGUAAUGUUAUUAAACAGCUGACGCAUUGCCAGAGUGGGUGGCAUUUCAGCAGCGAGGGAAGAGGCCUGUCUUUGUGAAGCGUGCUGGGAUGCGUCGGGAUGAAUGGUGCUCUGCAAACCCCCAGCGCUAUUAUUGGCCGUCUCGCUCUGACUUACACCUGCUUGCCUCCGAGCUCUCAUGAGCUCAUGAGGCUCCUCCUUUCAUCCAGGGCAACUUUACAUUACAGCAGGGAGGCAGAACUCAGUCGAACCAGCUAAGACAUCAGGAGGACCCCAGCAGCGCACCAUGCUGAUGUCAACUGUCCCUUAUUUGGAUCCUGACUUGACAUGGACCCCAUGGCUUGAAUUAAAAAAAUCUCAGAUGGCUGCUUUAGUGAUCAGUUGGGAUCUGUUAAUUAAAUAAAAGCCAGCUCCAUUGUAA